CGGGGGCAGAUGGCGUAACUGCCGACUCACUGCCUGUGGGUCGGACAGCCGCUGGAGGCCGUUGUGACGCUGCCCCCUUACGCGCCACAUCGGCAAAGCUACUCUUAGACAGGACGGGCAGGCGCGCGAGUAUGCGGCGUGCUCGCCAUCACAGUUGACACAGUGUGGAGUCUUCUGGCAUGUUUCGGAGGAAUGUUCGGUGUCACUACACUUGGCACAUGUCAGCCGGCCUCGACAGUUCUGUGAACUGUGGCCGAACCUUUGGCACUUGAAGCAUCUGAGAGGAUUGGGCACGUAUGGCCUAACACGAAGUUUGAUGUAACCGGCCUCGAUGGACUCGGGGAGGACACUUGAGCUGAAA